ACGACGCUGGCGGCGUGCCUAAUACAUGCAAGUCGAACGGUCUUUCUAUGGAAGCUUGCUUCCACUGAGAAGAUAGUGGCGGACGGGUGAGUAACACGUGGGUAACCUGCCCAUAAGAGGGGGAUAACAUCCGGAAACGGGUGCUAAUACCGCAUAGUUUUUCUUGAUCGCAUGAUUGAGAAAGGAAAGACGGCCUUUGUGCUGUCGCUUAUGGAUGGACCCGCGGCGUAUUAGUUAGUUGGUGAGGUAAUGGCUCACCAAGACGAUGAUACGUAGCCGACCUGAGAGGGUGAUCGGCCACAUUGGGACUGAGACACGGCCCAAACUCCUACGGGAGGCAGCAGUAGGGAAUCUUCCGCAAUGGACGAAAGUCUGACGGAGCAACGCCGCGUGAGUGAAGAAAGGUUUUCGGAUCGUAAAACUCUGUUGUCAGAGAAGAACAAGUUGGAGAGUAACUGCUCCAGCCUUGACGGUAUCUGACCAGAAAGCCACGGCUAACUACGUGCCAGCCGCCGC
rnacentral:rRNA from 1 species